rnacentral:rRNA from 1 species
AACGUAGGGGGCCAGCGUUGCUCGGAAUUACUGGGCGUAAAGGGUCUGUAGGCGGUGCGGCAAGUCGGAAGUGAAAUCUCCGGGCUUAACUCGGGGGCUGCUCCCGAAACUGCCGUGCUCGAGUGCGAGAUAGGCGAGUGGAAUUGCAGGUGUAGCGGUGAAAUGCGUAGAUAUCUGCAGGAACAUCCGAGGCGAAAGCGGCUCGCUGGAUCGCAACUGACGCUGAGAGACGAAAGCUAGGGGAGCAAACAGG